rnacentral:rRNA from 1 species
CAGUCGCCGCGGGAAUACGAAGGGGGCUAGCGUUGCUCCGAAUGACUGGGCGUAAAGGGCGCGUAGGCGGCGAUCAAAGUCAGGCGUGAAAUUCCUGGGCUCAACCUGGGGGCUGCGCUUGAUACUUGGUUGCUUGAGUGGGGAAGAGGGUCGUGGAAUUCCCAGUGUAGAGGUGAAAUUCGUAGAUAUUGGGAAGAACACCGGCGGCGAAGGCGGCGACCUGGUCCUUGACUGACGCUGAGGCGCGAAAGCGUGGGGAGCAAACAGGAUUAGAUACCCCAGUAGUCCCUGUCUCUUAUAC